ensembl:lncRNA
GAUUAUUUGCUCUGUUAUUUCUGUUUUACUUGUCUUUUUUUUUUCAGUUUUAUGGUAAUAACUAUAAUGACCUCAUUUGAUUUGUCAGGCAGAAUAAGUGAGUAUGGAACAAAUAGAUGGGGUGCUUUGAAUUCUGACUUGAGGAAAAGAAAAUCCCAUUGUUUCUUUCCUUCUUUUGCACCCUUACCAACCUGGCAACCUGACAAGGCCAAUCACAGUGUGAGGUGGCCUUUCUCCGCUAUAGCCACACACCCCCACACCUGUCAUGGGGCCAAGUUCCCUCAGCUGAUGAAGGGCCACAACACCUUAUUUCCACAAGUGCAGUAAAAGUACAAAGACUUCUUGCUCUGCUACAUAUCAUGAAGGAAGGGUGGUCCCUUGAUCCUCCUGGAAAGCCGCUGAAAGAUUGGGUGACUGAGAGAAGGAUCCCAGAGUUGUCGGGUUUUUUUGUUUGUUUAUUUAUUUUCGUUUUUCUUCGCAAAUGCCUCUUUUUUUCCUCUUUUGCUUUGGCGUCUGUGGAAGAAGAUUUUUUGCAGAGACCAACUUUUUGCUGCUGUUUUUUAGACAUGAUGGAAAAAAAAAAAACCUUUAUAGACUCAUUAUGCUCAAAGCAUGCAUACUGACACAGGAUAUAGAUAAACACAGAAAACAAAUCAAACAUACACAUUUCAAAAAUGCUACACUUAAAGAAAAAAAAAGGAAAAAAAAAACUUUGUACAUGUAUAAAUAAGUGCAAAUGCCAACACAAGAACUGAAGCAAACUCAUGCGUGUGCGCACACACACAAAACAUACAAACACACACACCAGCCUGCUGCCAUUUUGGUUUUUGUGCCUACACAGGUGUUGUGCUCUGUGACAGGGCAAGCUCUGGAUCGAAGAAGAAAACAAGAAGAAAAGGAGAAAAGUGGAGAAUCCAGGAUAAUUUACAUGCAUCAUUCCUUAGGAAAUAGGGACCAAAGGACUAAACGCUUUUUAAAAGAAUAUAAAUAUAUAAAUAUAUAAAUAUAUAUUUAAAAACUCAUACCUUGUAGCUGCAAGUAUUACAAUUUACUCGUAGUAAAAAAACAAAAAAACAAAAACAUUAAAUCAAUAUCCAGUGGCCUACUGUAAGUAUGAAUAAAAGAACAUGGAAAUAAUGUAUAAAAAAAGACAUGGAAACGUAGUAUAGGGGCUGAUCUUUUGCUCUGGAUGCUGAUUUAGCACCAGGUUGUAGAGUAGUAGAGUAGACUAGAAAAAAAAAAGUGUAGAUUUGCUAACUUUUGCUGUUGUUUAAAAAAAUACUUGAAGUUGUAAUGAAAAUGGGGCAAAAGAGGGGUGGGAUGGUGUGGGGGGAAGCAUUCAUCUGCCCCUAAACGCAACAACUCUCUUUCUCUUGGAUGUUAACGUAUCAGCCACUGGAUAUCGCGCUCAUCAUUAUGUACAAGUCACCGCACUCUCUGACAGAUAUGGAGAUGAUCUUCUGGAAGAAAACAAAAGAAUAAGAAGAAAAAAAAGACUGACUUUACUGAUGUCUGUGCUGGACGGGGUGCAGAUGUUUAAGGCUUCACUGGCCUUUGUGUUCAAGCGACAAUCCACUGUAAAGACCAAGUAAAAUGGACAUGGGGUGUCUUUUUUUUUUGUUGUUGGCCUUUUUGUAUUGCUACAUGAAGUGUGAAAUAUGAAGCCACAAACUUCUAAAAGGAGAUGAUUAAAAGUGAGAUGGACAAAUGGAUGGUCAUGACCGAAAGAGUAAAGAGGGAAGGAGAAAAAAGUGAUAGCUAUUGUAACUGCCAGCAGAAUGUAUUUGGUUUAGUAAUGAAUUGGCUCUUGUGGUAUCAGCAUUCUCUCAAAAAAACAAAGUAUGCCCAUCAUAAGCAGCCACAAAUUUGAAUGACAUGUCAAGGAUAUGUGUGUGUCCACUGAAGCUGCUGCAAAACUCUAGACUGAGAAAAAUUCAUUCUUGUCUGUUGGCAAAUUUCUCUAAAGAUGAAUUCAAUUUACUUCUGUAUUGCAGGAAAGGAGUGCCGGCUUUUAGAGCACAUUUACCUGUGUAAUGUUAAUUCCACUGUUAACAUGCUCCCUGACCUGCGUAAUGUACACAUUAUUCAUAAAGUCCACGGUAAAAAAAAAAGUAGAGCUUAAUGGCCUCGAUCUAAGAUAAUUCUAACAGUCACUCUUAAAAUCAUUCAACUCAUCUUUAGCUACACUGACACUGAUGCCAGGCACUCCAGUAGUGUCGUGUCUUGAUUUAGAGUCCUGUAGCCUCUGUUUUUUAACAAUUUACAGCUCUGGAAGCAGGCUCCUCUCUAAAACCAGAUCAAUAUGUUUCGAGUGAGUCUAGGGGGAGGAGCGAUGCUGUUUCAGUCACCACGAGCACUUCCCAAUUUUCUCCGCCGAACACCAGCUCAAAUCCAUAUACCAGCCCUCUAAGCACUGACAGCUGGCAAGGCUAGACAGAAGCAAGGAGAGAGUGGGGAGAAGAGGGGAAGUCAAGAACUCAUCACACCGAGAUCCUUUAAGCUGAUGCUGGUAGGUGAUGCCACAUGAUUUAACCAAAAAAAAAUAGAAACCCUAAUCAAGCUCUGGUGGCAAACAGUAUACAUAAUCUAAUCAUAAUCUGUGUUAUAUGCUUUCAAAAGCAGAUUAAACAGUCAAGUAGGACCUCAAGUUAAUACUUUAGGCACCAGUCCAACGAGCUCAUGUUAAGUAAUGAGAGUCUUCUUCUCCCUCUUUUUUGUUGAACUAGAAAAUCAGACCAGAAUUGGUCCAAAUCACUAAAGAAGGGACUGAUUAAAUGUGCCAGCAGAUUUCAUAGUUUUUAAUAUACUGCCUUUGCCACUUAAAAAAAAGCUGAAGGUACUAAUUUCAGCCCUUGAUAUUAACAUUCCACGUAGCACUUCCUUUUCUCCCGUCCUUAGAGCAGCCAUGCCUUUCUAAAUCACGGCACAAUUGUUUAGCGGCUCUCCCGUUGGAGCAGCAUUUUCGAACCUACCUAAUGCCUGUGCUCACUACCCUUCAAUUAUCUCUUGCACCACAUUAGACAUGCUAUUUCACCUUUCUCCCUAAUCACACUGUAAUCAUCAGCCUCUAUACAUUAGCAGCAACCAAGUGAAAAAUCACUGGGAUAAUCACUUGGACCAAAUGACGGGAGAGAUGGUCCCCUGCAUGCACAUGGAUGACAGAAGGAAGAUUAGGGAGAAUUAUGUUUGCGCCUACUCCCUGGCAAGGCUGGUGACAGCUGACCUGGCACCAAUAAUGUAGCCGAAUUUACCGAAGAGGCAAUGCAGGAUGAGGGAUAAAACCUUCCAUAUCAUAGCAAGGUUUUAAUGUUCCAGAGUAAUUUGACCAAAAACUAAAAGAGAAGGGCAGGUAGCAAAAUUGAUUUAGUUUUUGUUUUCUAUCACAAACAUUGCAGCAAUAGUUGCUUAAAACUGGGUCAAAUCCAACAUUUUUUACUAGAAAUCCUCAAUUCUGUUACUGUUCAGCUGCAGUGAGGCCUGUUGUUGUGAAUUUUCUUUCAGCAGCAACACUGCAUCUCAGAAGAUGAUGCCUGCAAGUUAUAGCCUCAUUCAUAUAUAUAUAUAUAUAUAUAUAUAUAUAUAUAUAUAUAUAUAUAUAUAUAUAUAUAUAUAUAUAUAUAUAGAUAUAGAUAUAUAUAGAUAUAUAUAGAUAUAUAUAGAUAUAUAUAUAUAAUCUAUAUAGAUGGUUGAAUGAGGUAUGGUUGAAUAUAUACCAGCUCUUAAGGACUUCUUAAGGAUUGCCUUUAAAUACUGUAAGAUAAAACCCAGCCCUCCCUCUGUCAUUUCAUUUGACAUGUGUUACUGAUAGAAGGAGCUUUGUGAAUUAAUGUGAAGUAAGUAAAAACAAAGCCAUGUUCUACAAACCAUUUAUGCUCAUUAUUUAAGUGAAGCUGAACUAAUCAAUGGGAAAUCUAAUGUUCCAUGAGCAAUGCAAUAUCCUCUGCUUGUCUUGGCCAUCUCUAGAAUACAUUUCCAACACGAACCUUGCAUGGUUGAUCCUGUAAUCUUUUCUGUCUUAUACCAGAUGCUGUACUAGUUCCCACUACUAAUGGCAGGUUGAGUCCCCAGUGAGCCAAAACUCAGCCUAGCCUAGUAUCCUGCUGUCUGCUUGGCUAACAGUGCAGCGAUCAUGUAGCAUAUCUGCUAUGCCAGGGCUAAAUUAGGCAAUGUGAAAUCAGUACUUCAACAUUUUUAAAACGGGUGCUCCUAUUACAUUUACACUCCAGGGAGAAUGUUGCUGAAGUGUUGUGCAUUAAAAGCAGAAAUAGCUGUGAAACACUAGAAUUGCACUGAAACUACCAAAAUGAGGAAAAAAAUAGAAAGAAAAUAGAUCUUCUCAUUACCAUUUAUUAAAGAGGCUCUUGCCUGAUUUGCCCUUAGCCUGGACUGGAGACAAGAGCAGACUGAGGCUAUGUUUCACCUCUAAAAUCACAGACAAAUGUCAACCCAGCAGGCACACUACCAAGCUGUUGCCAAACUGUGAUUUGAUAUUUGCCGUCCAGCUUACAAAAAGAAAAUGCAACUAAGCGUUUUUGCCAAAAGAAAUACAUAAGAUUUGAAUAAGUUCUUAGAAUAUAAUAUUUAGCAUGCUAGGCAAAAGAAAAAAUAUAUAUGUGAACAUGAAAAAGUAUAAAUAUCUCCAAAGAGGUAAAGCUUAUCUUCUCUAUCUUCUCAUACUGCACUGCCUUUAUUUGCCAUUUUUCAAUCAGUGAUGAGCAAAAGUAAUACUUAGGUAUAGUCAGUUCUUUGUGAGCAUUUAAACCAUUUGCCUCUGGCUUAUGCACCUAAAAAUUUGGAGGUUAUAUAGUAUGAAGUAAGCCCCUUUCCUCAGUUGCCACUACACCACUUUUCACAAGAUCUGUCUGCUUAAGGAGCAUGUAUCCUUAGAGGUUCCCAGCCAAUGGCAGGGCAGAGCACAAGUCUGUUUGAGAAUGAAUCUCCCACCCCUGGGUGCAUAACACUCACCCUAAAAUAGCAGUGAUUGUCAAGGAAAGGAAGUGAAAUGUAAUUGACUGAAAGUGGAGCGAUAAUUAAAGGAACCUGUUGGACAGGAGGGAAGAAAUUAAUGCUUCUCAUUUAAUAGCUGCUUUGGGAGAAAGCUUUUUCAGCAUCUUGGUUUAACGCAGUGAGGGUUUGCUGUGGAAAUGAGAUUUUGUAUUGAAAAAGGUAGCAAUGGAAAUAGUGGAAGCAGGCACUGGGUGGUGGGGGUGCUGUGUGCUUAACUGAAACUCCACAAAAUCACUCCCAAUACUCAGGGCAUCAGGGACUAUGAUGUCAUGAUUAGUGGAGAGGUUCAGAGCCUUGCCUUACCCCUUAUCCUGAAGGCAUUUGAGAAGAUAAAUAUGAGGACAGCAGAAGCUGUACGAUCACAUGUCACUGUGGGGUGUCCUGAGCCAGCAGAAGGGCUGAUGAACCACCUAAUAUUGUGCUUUGGAUUUAUAGUAUUACCAUCCCAUUCAAAGAGAAACAAAGAAACACAAAAGAUGCCAUUAUCAACCCAACACUGCACAGUGGUUUGCUGAAGGUAUGAAAUUAUGUUCAGAAACAUGUCUGAAAGAAAUGAAGACAAAGACUUUUUUUAAUUUCUUAAUGUAAAUAGACUAUAAAAUACAAAAAAACAGAGGAAGGGUGUACAGCAACUUGUGUUGAGAAGUCCAACUCUGUGGGACAAUGAUGUCAAUAUAAAAUGUAUCCACAGCAGUGCAGGGAUUUAGGAGAGUUUUAGUCCUUAUAAGCCCCUUCGGUUUGGGCUGUGAACAUGCAUCCUACAACUCUAAGUGUCUGGCCAAGGCUUAGAGAGUAUUUGACUUAGUGUCAAACCUAAGCCAUGGCCCUGAAGUGAUCCGGUAAUUAAGAUUCUGUGUACACCGACAUGUCAUGAUUUUUCUGACAGAAGAAAGAUUGCCUGUGCCGUAAUUGGAUUAGUCCAGUUGGGGCUGAUGAACAGAUAUGACACUGACAGUAGAGUUCAUCCAUCUGCAUGCUUUCCGCUUGACAGUGUGAAAAAAACCAUCAGCCAGCACCACUCUUUUUUAAAUUCUUUGGAAGUAAAAGUUGAGGCUUUACAGCAUUUAAGACGCUAGUUUUAGAAAAUAAAACUCCAGGUUACAGUGUGUUCAACAUGUACAUAAACCAUUUUGGAAUCAAACAUUUAAUACACAUGGUUUAAAAUAUACGAACACAGUUAGGUUGAGUUUAGAGGAAGGGGACAAACAAGAGAACUAUGUUGAUCCCAGCAGAACCCCCUGCUUGCUUGACCCAGUCUGACACUGCUCUCCUGACCACACAGCUGCAUUACACCUGUACAUACAAUAUAGCUUAUUUUUCAAUUCUGUUAAACAUUCUUUAUAGGCCGUACAAUAGAUCAUGUUCAAACAGAAAAAAAGAAAGAAUAGUUAAUAUAUUUCAGUGAAACUAAGAAAAGGAACCUAUGAAAUAAUUUAUCAAAAACAGAAGAUAAAAUGAUUUUAUUUCUUGUAGAGUGAAGCACGGAUGUUCAGAAAUGGGAUUUUAUACUCAUGUUUGAAAAUACGUCUUUAUUUUCUCUCUUUUGUUUUGUUAUUAUCGGUUGAAGCUGGGAUAGACCCAUUGUCAUGAGGUUUAUUCAGAUGUGCUUUGAUCAUUGUUCUUUUUUUUCCAUUUAAUUUUUUUGGCUGCACAAUCCCUGUGUAAAAUCCCUUGUGGAUUGGAAAGUUCAAAGAGAUUUUGUUCAAUGAAAGCUCUUACAUCAAUACAAGAAUUAGCAAACUGCACUGUAAAAGGAUGAUUGAUGGUACUGGUUUUGUGGAUUCAGAAAAAAGGGUUCUUUGCACAACUGAGGUUAAAAGGAUCAGAAUUGUAUGUUCAAACGCAAUUUUAUUUUUUGGACCUUUUGUUGUUUUAAGAAAAAAAAAUCAAACUUUGCCAUCAGAUUGUUUUGGGGACUUAUGCUGCCAUAUGUCAUUAUGUUUAAGCCAUUGUUGCUUUCCUGUAAUGAAGUUCUCUCUAUGUCCUUUUCUUGCCUUGUAUUUUGAAGGGUUAAUUGCAUUUAUUGACCUGAUUUUCAUAUCUUUUUUUGUUCAUGGGACAGUUCUUCCACAGGUUGUUAUCUGAUGUGACACCAUCCACUGAAGACAUUGUGCCAAAAGUAGAUCACGCUGCUUUUCUCCAGUUUUUUGGUUUGUUAUGCGAGGAGGAAAUUCUGCCUUAAACCCAGCCUGUUCUCUCUGACAGUACUACCUGUGAACAGUGGUCAGACACGCUGUAUUCUGGGGAUGCCAAAUGUUCUUCGAAACAAACACUCUGCCAGAAUCAGUUUUGCCUCAAGCUCAUUCUGACACAAAUAAGGAUGCGGUCAUCCAUUACCAUUUCCAUUGGUUACAAGGACCAAAAUGUAAACAAACUCAGAUAACUGAGAAGUUUGCUCCAAUCAAGCAUUCAAAUGAGAGCCUUUAAAGUGUUCGUAUUUAGUCAUAGGCAAUUUUGCACCAUGAAGAUUUUUACCAUGAAUCAUUGCAUUCCCAGCUUCACAGUCUAAUUUCACUGUUGUUAUUCAUUGCCAUAAAAACUCACAAUCUAUUUAGGUAUUUAAAUUUACAGUGAAUGAAAAAAAAACCUCAUUUAUUUUGUUGGUUUUUUUUGUCUUGAACAAUCUGAGUUACUGUUUUCUUUCUUUUCGUUUGAAACAGAGAUGUAAUUUGAAUUAGCAUUGGCUCUGGUCCGUUUCCCUGAUUCAGGAUGAUAUUUCCCAUAGUGCUCCUGAACUCUGUAGUUCUCUAGUUCAUUAUAUUCUGCUUAGACUAAAAUAAAGCACAGUCCUGUAGAAGA